GAUGAAGAACGCAGCGAAAUGCGAUAAGUAAUGUGAAUUGCAGAAUUCAGUGAAUCAUCGAAUCUUUGAACGCACAUUGCGCCCGCCAGUAUUCUGGCGGGCAUGCCUGUUCGAGCGUCAUUGCAACCCUCAGGCCCCCGGGCCUGGCGUUGGGGAUCGGCGGAAGCCCCCUGUGGGCACACGCCGUCCCUCAAAUACAGUGGCGGUCCCGCCGCAGCUUCCAUUGCGUAGUAGCUAACACCUCGCAACUGGAGAGCGGCGCGGCCAUGCCGUAAAACACCCAACUUCUGAAUGUUGACCUCGAAUCAGGUAGGAAUACCCGCUGAACUUAAGCAUAUCAAUAAGCGGAGGA
rnacentral:misc_RNA from 1 species